CUUAAUAACCAAAGCUAGACAACAAAACAAAACACACAAACCUACAUAGGCAAGAGGUACAUACAUCAUUUAUUUAAUUUCCCCAUAUAAACCACAUCACAACAACACAUUAAUGCUCCCUCUAAUAUCAGAAUUACUCAUCAUGCGGUUGCGGUUGUUGCUGUCACUGUUGUUCUCUUUACAUCCCUUGCCUCCACCUUUGCAUCCCUUGCAGCAGCUUCCCUUGCAUCCCUUGCAGCUGCCUCCCUUGCAUCCCUUGCAGCUGCCUCCCUUGUAUCCUGUGCCUUGCUCUGAAUAUCCUGCCCAACCUCCUUGGUCUUCUGCCCCACUUCCUUCGUCUUCUGCCCCACGUACUCCGCCGCCUCGGCGAGGUGAUGCUUCGCGGCGGCGGCGAGGUUCUCCGAGGCUGGCUGGGUCUCCCGGAUGUAGUUCAGGAUCCAGGAGAAGGAAGACAGCGCCGUGAGCCCGAAGGCCCCCGACGUCAGGAACCCGGCCACGGCCAGGCCGAUGGCGACCGUGGCUGGAACCAGCACCGGGCUGAAGAGGACGAAGAGCGGCGUGGCAACUGCCAGUCCGGUGAGGGUUCCUGCCAGGGUCAAUCCCGCCAGGAGGAGCAGGAUGCCACCGACCGGGAGGCCGGCGAGGACGGCGAGGACCUGGGAAGUCGUUGGACCUCUCUCGGAAUGGUAAAUGGAGGGCGCUUUGACGCCGGCUUCAUAACGCGGCGGUUCGAAACGGGCUCCGGGGGGGACGACGCCAGCUUCGUAGCGGUGUGUUGUUGUGUGGACUUGGACACUGUGUGGUGGUACUUGUGUGGUCAUGGUUGAAGGUGAAGUUUAGGGUUUUGCAAUGAAGAUGAUGAUGCAACAGUGCUGCAAGUGAAGGAAUUGUUAGUGGGGUGUGUGUUAGAGAGGGAGAGUGUGACGGGGGUGUUGUUAUAUAGCAAAAGUGGAGUUGUUGGGUGAUGACACGUACAUGAUACAUGGUGAGUAGGGGCUUUGCAUGAGGAACAGGUUUCAGUUUGCCCUCGGUUUAGUACAUCAGAAAAAUUAAAGUGGGGUACAUAAAUUAUGACAGACAAAUGAGAAUAAUAUACUUUUUAACAUUUUUAUUAAGGACAGUUGGGAUACAGUUUCGCAGGUGGUGUUGGUGGUAUUUUUCAUCAUAAUUGGAGUUUUACUUCACAAAAUCUGCAUUAGCAUUUAAUGAAAUUAGUUUGUAACCCGUGCAUCGUUUGUAAAUUUUUUUGCAUAUAUAUUUAUUUGUUUUGUAAAGUAAAAAUAAAAUGAAAAUUAAUGUGCAAAUUAAAAUAGAUUAAACAUUGAUAAUAUAUUUACAUAGUAAAUAAAUUGUUCAGAAAAGCAAGAAAGAUAAACACUAUUAUCAAGAAGUAUCAGUUUAACAUUCCAAAUUUAUUCACUGUCAUUGUCAUCCCAGUCUUUCCUGCGGCGGCGGAUGAUAAUUUUCCAUAUUUUAUCAUGUCUGUAAUAGAAGGAAACCUCAUCGUCGUGGGAGAAAUCACUGUCGGCAAGGAAUUGAUACCAUGGUUGUAUAACAUAUCUGUGACCAAUUCCAAUGUCAAGGAGCACAACAUUCCACUGCAGUGGAGGUCCAAAUUUUCUAAGGAUUGUCAUGUGUUGGCCGCAGGCAUUAACAUGUGUAAUGACACAAUUUGGAAGUCUCUGCAAUGAAAAAAAAAUAGUCUUAUAUAUAAACAAGAAUUUGUAUAAGGAACAAAGAACAACUUUUGAUGGUUACCAGCGGUUGGGGUGCACCAAGCAUCGACUGGGUGAUUUCAAUUGUCCAAAUAUGCUCUCUUGAGAUCAUUCGUGGUCUUCUGCAGGUCUGGUGCUCUCUUGAGAUCAUUCGUGGUCUUCUGCAGGUCUGGUGCACCAAGAAGUGAAUGGUGAUAGAUUCAUAAAUUGCUAAAUCUUUUCUGAACUGGUUUAGUCCCUCAGCAAAGUAUACUUUUUGCCGAUGCUGUCUUAGUCUAAUUUGGUAUGAUGUUCCAUCAUAUCUGAAAUGGACAAAGUCAGGGUAUUCUGGUGCCCAUUGUUGGUGGUAAAAAGAAGGCACCACUAUGGUGUCCUGCAAAAAAACAUAGUAAUAAAAAGAAAAUGAAACUGCACGAAUGAAAGAACAAAAAAAACCAAAGAGUGGGCAUAUAAGAUUACCCAAUUGUUGUGGAAUGGUGUUGUGAACUGCAUGAUUAAUGGUUUUUUGUUAACCAGAUAUUGAAUCUGCAGUGAGAUAGAAUGGAAAAAAUAAGAUAAAAUAUGGUACUGAAAGAUAAUAUUUUAAAAUAUAUGGACAAUGACAACAACAUAAUAAAAUCAAUGAAUGUAUCAUGCCAUGAAGUGUAUUAUGCAAUUAAUGUUGAGAGUGAUAGUCAUGGUUAAGUUUGCAGGUUUUAUAAAGUGUAUUCUGCAAAUAAAGAUUGAGAUGUACACAGGCUGUUGGGAUGAAGUGGCAUUCAGUUGGAAUGUAGGUUUAAGAAUCAAAACAAAAAAGCUAUGGCAAAGUUUUGGGAUUGUUUUGGUUUGGGACAAAGCAACAAUCUUAAAAUUUGCUGCCCUAUGUCUGUUUUUUGGUUUGGUUACAUGUUAGAUUUCUCAUAUGAUAAAAUAGAGUAGGAACAAUUAUUUUCUUUUCUAACAGAAGCCAUCCCAGACAACUAAUACUUCGUAGAUUAGUUAAUGGUUAAAUUAAGUUAGUGAUUGGUUUGAGAGUAGUUUUUUAUGCUGGUAUUGUGAAGUAGGAACUUCAGUCCAACCAAUAUUUCUACUAUCCUGUUAUUCAUAGAGUGAUGAACUAUUGUAUAAACUUUUGCACACUGCCAUUUUUGAUUCUCCUAAAACUCUCGUUAUUCCUAUUCUGUAUAUUAUAGGUAUGAAGUAGGAACUUCAGUCGAGUCAAUAUAUCAAGUUUUGUCAUACUUCUAUCACAUAUGAUUUGUGCUGCAAGUAAAAAUUUUUGGUCUAGAAUUACAAUGUGCAAUUAUUUAUUAAGAUGACAAAUCAAUAUAGAUCCAAAUGUGGAAGUCAAGCAACAUGAUUGUCAAAAUCAUAAGCUACACCUAAUAGGACAAAUCCCUAAAAAACAAUACCUAGGAUGAAGCAGUUCUGAACUCAAUUUUGUUCCCUUUGGUCAAUAUAGCCAUUUUAUUCGGUGAUAAAAAACAUAAAUUGAUUAGUCUCAAAUUUAUAGUUUAGAUAAAUUAAAUUCAUUUUUGCCCUAAACGAAAGGGAACUCUAAUUAAUUUAUAUAUGGCUAUAUCAGUUCUUCAAUAUCAGUUAUUAAUAAAUUGUAAAAAAAUAAUGCAAUGUGGAUUUAAUGUUGGGGAUUCUAGUAGGUGUAUAUUUUAUCUAAUUUCUAUCCAUCAGUGGCAUAUUGCAAAUUAGAACCGAUUUUAUAGUACUAUAUUGCAGAUUAAUAUCAAUAAACAGAAGAAACAAAAAAUAAUUCCCUAUUUUUUGUAUGGCAGUCAAAGGAUAACAAAACAAAAUUUUCAGUGCUUAUUCAUAUGUUGUUUGUUGUUUAAUUCUAAAGUCAAAGUUAAUAAUAUCAAUCAGUCAAAAUGUAUCCGUGCAUGCAUUGAAAAAAUUAACUAACGAAGAAGUUUUGGUUUGAUGUAUAGAACAAAAUAGUAGGAGAGAAAGAAAACCUAAGUAUGUACUGACAAAAGAAACGCAUAACUUUGGGAAUCCGGAUGAUGAGUUUCAUCACAGUACCAUAUUUACACUUAAAAUUUUAACAAAACAAAGUAAAAUAUAGUUAACGGAAUUUGAAUAUAUAUUCUAAAUAAUUUUAGACUUGCCUUGCUUAAAACAGAUGAUGAGUUUGAACUCAUGGUUGUCUCACUUGAACUGGAUGAUGAGUCUGAACUCAUGCUGGCAGUCGUCUGAGUAUUGUUUUUUUUCGAAAACGAAGGAGGAGUAGAUGGCCGGAGAAGAAACGCUGUUUGGAGAAGAAGUGUCGGACUGAUGCAGUGGUUGGUGAAAACGUGUAGCUGGUGGCAUAUGAAUGAAUUUGGGAAUUAUAGAGCAUUGAAUGAUGGCUUAGAAGAUUGGACGUAGAGAGUGAUUUGAAUCAUCAUGAAUGUAUCUCUGGUGUUGCAGGCAGUUGAAGUGUCUUUUUUUGUUGUUGAAUGUCACAACCAAUAUUGAUAUUUAUAAAAAUGCAGGGAAAAAUGUAUCACAAAAAAUCAUCAUAAUUAUUUAUUUGCCAGAACAUAUAUUCAACAUUAAUGGUCUCAGCAAAGCAAUUAUACAUAUUCUAAAUAUAUAAUUUCAGAAGAAAUUUUUUUCAUGAAUAAUCAAUUUUUUUUUACAAAAUUAGUUGAUUGUUUAACUAUAUAUACACAUAUAUAUAUAUACAUAUAUAUAUAUAUAUAUAUAUAUAUAUAUAUAUAUGUAUGUAUGUAUGUAUGUAUGUAUGUAUGUAUGUAUGUAUAUCAAUGUUUUAAAAUAUUCGUGUGAGCUGCCGUUGAUUAUAAUAUUUUUUUUAUCAAUGCAUGUUAGGGGCAAAACAAAAAACUAAUUAGUGUUACUUAAAAUGAACGAAUUAGUAUUACAAGUAAUAAGAUUUUUUAACGAUGGGCAUUAAUCAACGUUGCACGUUUGGUAGUGCAAGAUUAAUGUUUGUUGUGCUUAAUAAUUUAUGUGGGGAUAAAAAAGAAAUUAUUUGUCAUUAAUUUUAUGGAUUAGAGGCAAUACAUAUAUGAAUAUAAAGUAGUUGAUUUGAGCAAAGUUUAAGAAUUUAUAAGUGGUCCACUAUGUAUCUUUAAAAUCAAGCAAAAUAGAUGCAAUUCAUAAGUUGAAUCCAGUAGUAUAAAUUGCAAUAGAAAGAUUUUAAUGUAGAAGAUGAUAUUAUGUACCUCAUAAUAUAACAUUUGACACUGGCUCAUAUGAUCCUGUAUCUAGCUGCAUAUCAGAGCAUUUUUGAGUAAUUGUUAAAUAAAGUAUUAUUAGGAAUACAAACUAACAAUUGUGUUAGGGAAAAAAUUAUAUUAACCUUGUUAGAUUAUUGAAGACCUCUUUGAAAACUACAUUGGUGGUAGAAGUCAUAUUUGUUUGGUCUUUAUCAUGGAUCAAAAUUUUUAAGCCUUUCUUUGUUUUGACCCUUGAUAAUGCAACAUAUAAUUGACCAUGGCUAAAAACUAGUUUUGGAAAAUAAAGUCCAACUGUGGACAGUGAUUGUCCUUGAGAUUUGUUAAUUGUCAUUGCAUAAGACAACAUGAUUGGAAAUUGUCUUCUUAAAAGUUUAAAAGGCCAUGGUGAUUGUGGAGGGGACAUGGACAUUCUUGGAAUGUAAACCAUAUGGCCUGAAUUUUUGCCAGAAAUGAUUUCAGCCGCAAUUACAUGCUUUGCCAAUCUUGUAAUUAUUAAUCUAGUGCCAUUACCCAAGCCUUGAGUUUGGUCUAAGUUCCUUAAAAGCAUUAUAGGAGUUACUAUUUUAAGCUUGAUACAAUGAUUUGGCAGGCCAGAUGUCAUCAAUGAAUUAAGGAAUUAAGUAGUUAUUGUUUGAAAAUGACAGCUUUCAAUGGUUUUUGAUUUGUCUAUAGAGUCAAACCUUAGGUAUUCCAUGUGUUCAACUAUGAUAAUUUUUGUAAUUAGUAUGACAGUUGUAAAGUUAAAGAUCUCUCCAAAAUAGCAGAAACAUUAAAUAGAUAAUAAUAUUUAAAAAUUGGUAAUUAAGCAGGGCUAAUUUAGAUAGAUGUAAUACCAAUUACAUUAGUGAUUCUAUGAUUACCUGGGAUUAAUGAUAGUAUAUAAUCAUUGACCUGUUCAACUGUUUCGUUGGUUGAAGCUAAUAUUGCCCUACUGUUGAAGAAUUGAGGAUCAUUGUGAUGCUGAGAUAAAUCUGGGAACGUUGAGUUAACUAUGGCAUGGAUUGGAUCAUCAUAUUCAAUUAUCAACAGGUCCUCAGGGAUUUCAAUUGUGGAAUAGCCAUCAUUUUCAUGUCCAAUAAUUCUAUCUCCAAUGUCUAGGAUCCACUUAGCAAAUGCGACAGUUUCUUGUUCAUCUGGUGAUUGUACAUUGUUCUGCAAACACAUGUUUUUUGUCAAUCUUAAGACCUGACAACAAUCCCAUAAAUAAGAGGAAUUGAUUGAGCGACUUCCCCUUGGAAUGACUGACAAUAUUUGUCGGAAGUCCCCACCAAAUACCAUGACUUUACCUCCAAAUAUUUGAUUUGAACUGGGUUUAGUUUUACUUAUAUCUCUUAAACAUUGGUCAAGCGCUUCAAAACAAAAUUUGUGAGCCAUUGGUGCUUCAUCCCAAAUAAUUAGGCUUGUUUGAUUUAGCAAUUCAGUUAAUUCACUUCCUUGAUGAAUGUUGCAUGUUGAGUCUUUAAAAAUGGGUACAGGUAUUUUGAAUUUUGAAUGUGCAGUCCUGCUGCCUGGCAACAAUAGAGAAGCUAUGCCGUUGGAAGCAACUAUAAUAACAAUUUGAUUGUUUGCUCUCAAUGAAGUUUCCAAUGUUCUCCAUAUGAAGGUUUUUCUUGUACCUCCAAAUCCAUAUAGGAAAAACAUGCCACCUUGAUUUUUGUUGACGACUUCAAUGAUUUGGUUAUAAAUUGAUGUUUGUUCAUCUAUAAAUAUGUAUUAGCUUAUGUAAGACACAAAAGAAGAACAAUUCAAAUUCAAAUUGGAAAGGUAUAGCACCUAUUAUGGAUGAAAAAAGUUGCAGAAAUUCUGAUCUAGUCUCAUCAUUGUUGUAAUUUAGCUAUGCUAAUAUCAGGCUAUUGUCUAGAUAGGACGUGAAGUAAGCAUCCUCAGGAUAUGGCAUUAAAGGAUAGUCUUUAAGUGAUUUUUGGUUUACAUGCAGCAGGUGUUCAAUCUCGAGCAAUGCCAAAUUACUCAGAUGAUUGUCAUCGAUAUGUAAUUCUAACACAUUAGACGUUAUUAGUCAAAUUAUGAUUAUGGUUGAUGCCAUCUAAUGUAAAUAUUAAUCAAACAAAACGAACUUGUAUUUAUUGUUGAUUUGCUAUAAUGAUAUGCAAUGCCAUCAGCUAACCAAUGCCAAGUUUGGUUCCAAACUUCUUCAGGAUUAUUGAUGGCACCUGUUAAAAGCAUCAACACAAAUAAUUUCCUCAAAUAAUUAGUUGUGCCCCAGUCCUUUUCCUCUUUGGUUGCUUCAACGAAUUCUCUGUCAUCUUGUAAAAACCCCAUGGCAAAGCAUGCUUCUCUGUAUGUAGGGUAUUGAAUAUUUGUAACAGUUCUAAUAUCCUCAAAUGAAGUUGUUUCCUUGCAGGCAGUAAGCAUCAUCCUCAAAUAAAACAAUUCUCUUGUCAUUGGUGGGACCCAUAUAAGCCUUCCAAUAGUGUAUCCUUUCUUUCUAAGGUGCCAUGAUCUAGUCUUUUGAUUAUAUACAAACUUUGAAACGAAUUCUGAAUAAGUCAGAGUUCUUCCUUCUGAAAAACAUUUGUUGGUGUUAGUCGUCUUUUACAACUAACUUUUGUAUGGAAAAGUUUUCCAAAAUGUAUAUAUUUUCCCCAAUUUAUGGUUCUUUUUGUAGGAUUGUAAAUAAUUCUUGUUUAGUUUUUAUUUUUGCUAAGUAGAGACCUUCCUCAUGGAAUUAAUGUAAAUUUCACUUCAAUUUUAGGUAAAAAAGAGAAAUUUUGGAAAGUGCUGAAGUUCCUGUCUCGCUAAGCCUGGUCCAUGCGCUUAGCGAGAUUCAUCCGCUAAGUGGGACAUCAGCCCGCUUAGCGAGUAAGAGGAAUCUUGGAGAGAAUUUGCCUCGUCAGCAUGUGCUCAGCGCGUCACCAAGUAACCCAACGAUAUUUUUGUCUCUUCUUGCGCUAAGCGCGCCAGGCUCACUGAGCCAAAAUUUACAUACUCACGCUAAGCAUGAAAGUGGAGCUAAGCGCACCUUCGAGGACAUAAAACCCUUUUUAAGCAUGAAGUGAAGAAAAAGAAAGGGGGUCUGAAUAGACUGAGAGCUUGGCAGAAGAACAAAAGCGAAAAGCAGAGUAAGGAAGCAAAAACCUUAGCUUUUAGGAGAAUUUUAGGUUUAGGAGUAAUUUCUAGGUUUCUAGAGGUAGAGGAGAAAUCCCCACUACUUUGUAAUCUGAUAUUUUCUCUAAAACCCUUCUCCUGCUUGUGAAAGGUGCUCCCUUGUAAUGGAGGCGUAAAAUUCUUUGUUGGGAAAUUCUGCUAAGUACUUGAUGUAAAUACUUAUCAUAUCUAUUUGAAGUUGUUUUUAUGUGUUCGUUGUUUUUAUCCAUGCUUAAUUAUCGCAUGCUUGUGGCUUGAUCACCCAUUUGUAUGUGCUGUUAGGAGCUUUAGCAUUGGAAAAUGUAUUGCAUCCUUAGAACUGGAUAGAACAGGGCUAGGUUAUCGUAUAAUCUGGACACGGAGUGUGGUAAUUUAAUUUUUAUUAUGCUGUAGUCGUAACACUGUUCGGUUAGGCUAAGUUCAAUAAGAGACAUCUGAGAAUGAAGCUUAAUUAGAAUUAGUCCAAACUCACGAGACAUCGGUGUUUGGUAUUUUAGCUCUCAGCAAAGAACACAAAAAAUAAAUUUGAAUAGAGAAAUACAUUUAAUUACAUUAAGUAUCUCAAUAGGAGGACCCAACGCUUUUACAUAUCUGUUUUCACAUCCACUUGCUCAUAUUUACUGUUUUCAAUUAGAAUAGAAAUCACUUUUGUUUUUAAUUCAUGAUAAUCAAUUCUUUGCACAAAUGUCUGCCUAUUGAAUGAUGCUUUGCCAAAUAAAACAAGUUCCCUGAGUUCGAUACUCGGUUCUUACCAUUUUAUUAUUACUUGCACGACUCGGUACACUUGCCGGUGAGAUUUACGUAUCCAUAUUAACAAGUAACACCGGGGUGUAAACAAGUUUUUGGUGCCAUUGCCAGGGAACUUCUUUCUAUUUGGAAAGUUUAGUUUAAUUGGUAAGCAUUGAUUCUUUAUUCUUUGAUUGUUUGUUAGUGUGAAUAUUUAGUUAGUUUUUCAACAUUUGUUUUCUCUUGGAUUGGUUAACUACUGUUUCUGUUAGUGUUUUGUAUUCGUAGAUCCUCUGCAGGUGAAUUGGUCCCAUUAGAUUUGGAAAUUGAAGCAGCUUGCAGAAGAAACAACGCAGAGAGGAGGAGAAAACUUUUAUAGGACAGGACAAUAGCUUUCAUCCUUGAAGAGGCUCAAUCUUCUGAGCCAUCAUCUUCAAAUUCUCCAUCAACAAGGGAAUCCACCACUGCAGUGCCUAAAGCCGACAUUAUGGCUGAAGAGCAACCAAGGAGGGUGACCCUUGAAGAUUAUUCUAGCAUCGCUGUGCCACAGUUCUUUACAAGCAUUGCAAGGCCAGAGGUGCAGGCCCACAAUAUCACAUAUCCACAUUCUUUGAUUCAGUUAAUACAAGGCAAUUUGUUCCAUGGUCUACCCAAUGAAGACCCAUAUGCACACUUGGCAACAUAUAUUGAGAUAUGCAACAUUGUCAAGAUUGUCGGUGUGCCAGAAGAUGCUAUUCGGCUCAGCUUAUUUUCAUUUUCAUUAUCUAGAGAAGCCAAGAGGUGGCUGCAUUCAUUCAAAGGUAAUAGCUUAAGGACUUGGGAUAAAGUUGUGGAAAAGUUUUUGAAGAAAUAUUUUCCUGAGUCCAAGACAACAGAGGGAAAAGCUACAAUUUCUUCAUUCCAUCAAUUUUCCGAUGAAUCUUUGAGUGAAGCUUUAGAACGAUUCCGUAGCUUGCUGUGGAAGACCCCCACACGUGGAUUCUCUGAGCCUAUACAAUUGAACAUCUUCAUUGAUGGGUUAAGGCCACAGUCGAAGCAGUUACUAGAUGCUUCUGUAGGAGGUAAAAUUAAAUUGAAGACUCCUGAAGAAGCAAUGGAGUUAAUUGAGAAUAUGGCUGCUAGUGACCAUGCAAUCUUGCGUGACAGAACACAUAUCCCCACCAAAAGGAGUUUAUUGGAGCUGUCAUCACAAGAUGCUUUGUUGGCUCAGAAUAAGUUGCUGUCCAAGCAGCUUGAAGCUUUAACUGAAACAUUAAGUAAGUUGCCAACUUAGCUUUCUGCUAGUCAACCUUCACCUUCUUCUGUUUUGCAGGUUGCAUGUUGUGCUAUUUGUGGUGGUGCUCAUGAGUCAGGCUGCUGUAUUCCCACUGAGGAUCAUGCACAUGAAGUUAACUACAUGGGAAACCAACCUAGACAAAAUUUUAAUGCAAGUGGAUUCUCAGGAUUUCAGCAGGGCCAAAAUUAUAACUAGUAGUAUGGACAGUGGAGAGCUCAUCCUGGUAAUCAAUUCAACAAAGACCAGGGAGGGCCAUCUAAUAGGCUGCAACAACAAGGGCAUAAUCUCUACGAGAGGACAACAAAGCUGGAAGAGACUCUUGCUUAGUUUAUGUAGGUUUCAAUAUCAAAUCACAAAAGCCCUGAGUCGGCCACUAAAAAUUUAGAGAUCCAGGUGGGGCAGUUGGCCAAGCAAAUUGCUAACACUUCUUCCAACAAAUUUGGAGCAAACACAGAGAACAAUCCCAAGGAAGAGUGUAAAGCUGUGAUGACCUGAGGUAGGAUGGCAACAAUGGCUGAAGAAGAGAAGGACGAGAAGAUAGUGGAUGGAGAUAAACAACAACGAGAAAGUGAACCAGCACUUGAACCAGUGGACCCUUUUUGUGAACUUGAGGAAGUGGAAGAUGAGGAGGAUGACCAAGAGGAUGAGACACCAAUAAUUUUGAGUGAGAAAGAAAUAAAGGAUGAGAAAAAGAAAGAAAAAGAAAAAGAAAGAGAAAGAGAAAAAGAAAAAGAAAAAAAUGAAAAAAAUGAAAAAGAAGAAAAGAAAGAAGAGAAGAAAAAGAGUAAGAGUGAGCUUGCUGGAGAGAAAAAGAAAGAGGUAGCUCUAGCUGAAGGGAGAGAGGUGCCAUACCCAUUGGUACCCUCAAGGAAGGAUAAAGAGCGUCAUCUAGCUAGAUUUCUUGAUAUCUUCAAGAAGCUAGAAAUCACUAUGCCCUUCGGAGAAGCUCCACAAUAGAUGCUGCUCUACUCUAAAUUUCUAAAGGAUAUGCUAACCUGAAAGAGCAAGUACAUACAUAGUGACACCAUAGUUGUGGAAGGAAACUGCGGUGCUAUUAUCCAAUGCAUCCUCCCACCUAAGCAUAAAGAUCUAGGCAGUGUCACUAUUCCUUGCUCGAUCGGUGCAGUUUCAGUGGGAAAAGCUCUUAUUGAUUUAGGAGCAAGUAUUAAUUUGAUGCCACUCUCAAUGUGUCGGAGGAUAGGAGAGCUAGAGAUAAUGCCCACAUGAAUGACUUUGCAGUUAGCAGACCACUCCAUCACCAGACCGUAUGGAGUUAUUGAAGAUGUUCUUGUCCAAGUCAUACACUUUACCUUCCCUGCUGAUUUGUUGUGAUUGACAUUGAGGAGGACGUUGAGAUCCCUCUUAUCUUGGGGCGUCCAUUCAUGUCAACUGCUAGCUGUGUAGUAGACAAGGGGAAGAAGAAGUUGGAGAUGGGAAUUGAAGAUCAAAAGAUAAGAUUUGAUCUAUUUGAUGAAGAGAAACAACUUCUAGACCAGAAUGUCUGCUUGAAGGUGAAGGAGUAUGGAGAAGAGAUUCUGAAGGAGGGAACCAAGUUUGAUCCAGACCCUUGAAGACCGAUGCAUCAAGCUAGUGACAUUAAAAGAGCGCUUUCUGGGAGGCAACCCAACCCUUUGUAUUUCAUUGCUGUUUUUCAUUGCAUUUAGUUAUAGCUUGCUGUUUGUGGUUGCAUGAAACAUUCAUCAGCAUGUUUUGCAUUGAAAAAGGGGUUGACAAGUUUUUAUUAAGCAGUGGAUGAAAAAUAACUUAGAAAAUUUUUCAGUAGUCCACUCGCUAAGCGUAUUACUCGCGCUAAGCGAAUCUGUCUUCAUGCGCUAAGCGAGCUGUUGCUUUUGCUAAGCGCUGCGACCCCUAUUUUUUGGCUGAAAGGGUCUCACUAAGCCCAAAAACUUCUCUGGAUUUUAAUUUUUUUUGAAUUGGGCUAAGCGCAACUGCUCGCUAAGCGCAAAUACUUCUCUGGAAUUUCAUUUAUGAGCAUUGCGCUAAGCGAGGCACCCCGCUAAGCGAGACCCACUCACUGCAUUUAAGGAGUAUGUUAUUUGCUAAGUGCGGCCUAUGGUCCGCUAAGCGUGAGUUGUAGGCCAAUCAGAGCUGCAGAACUCGCUAAGCGCGUAGCUUCGUGCUAAGCCCAAAAACUUCUCUGGAAUUUAAAAUUUUGAAAUUUUUGAAUUGGGCUAAGUGAGCAUGCCCGCUUAGUGCAUGAGUUUGGAAACUCAAAUGUCAUUGCAUGCUCGCUUAGCGAGUUGACAUGCUAAGCGAGGCAGUCCAAACUGCCAAAAAGCAAUAAGGCGUAACUGCCCUAGGAAGUUACAUUUUAUGCCUUUAAGUGCAUUUCUUCUCCCAUUCAUUGCCAUUUUCUCUGCGCUGUGCUCUCAACUUCCUCGUUGCCUGUAUCCUUGCUCCCUUUUUGCUUUCAUCUUCAGCAAUCCAAGUAAGCCUUUUAACUUGCUUUUAGUUUCAAAGUUUUAAACUUUAGGUUGGUAAAGUUAGUUUACUAUUUAAAGCUUUGAUUUUUGUUGUGAUUACAUGAUGAUAGGUUAGUUGUUAGUUAGAACAGUGUUAGGGGUUUUGAUUCGCAUACAAUGUACGUCAUUUUGACAUGUUUUGGUUAGUAUUUGAUGGCCCAAUAGAGGACUAUGUUGAGGGGCUAAAAAGCCCCAAGUUUUUUUGGAAAUCUCGAUGAUCUCGCUAAGCGCGCCUGUGCGCUAAGCGAGUUCAUAAGUUUUUGUUGAAUAUCUGGAUUUCCAGAUGAAUUCGCUAAGCCAUUCCUUAUGCGCUAAGCGAGUUCAUCUUCUCUGAUGAUGAAUGUUAUGUAUGAACUUGCUUAGCCGACAUUCCGCACUAAGCUAGUUGAUGUGUUUUCAGACACUUAGAAAAUUUUUUGUUUUGCUGUUGGUGGCCAAGCGAGUCCUCUCGCUAAGCCAUUUAGCCCAGUUGGCUGAAUAAGCCUAGGCUAAGCGAGCAUGUCUCACUAAGCCCAAGGCAAUUGUGUUUUCUGAAUGUUUUGUCAUGCGCUAAGCACGCCUUACCGCGCUAAGCGCAAUUUCUUUCCUGUUUUGUAAUUUUUGGAAUUGGGCUUAUCGAGCCUGCUCGCUAAGCCAAUUAUUCUCUAGUAUUGUUGUCGCGCUAAGGGCACCGUAUGCGCUAAGCGCAAAUUGUUUUCUGUUUUGGAAUUGGGCUUAGCGAGCCAAUUAUGCAGUAGAGUAGUUUUCUGUGUUAACUCGCUAAACGCACCUCGAUCGCGCUAAGUGUAUGAGUUAAUUUUCAUAAGUCGUGCUAAGCGAAUCCAUCUCGCUAAGCGCCUAGUUUAAAUUUCAGAUUUUUUUUUGCUUUCUAAUUUGAAUAAAUACCUGUCUAAUUUUGUGUCUUUGAUUUUUUUGAUGUAGAUGGCUUCCAAGAAAUGAAAGGCUAAAGCUUCCAGGCCUCAGGCCAAUUAUGGCAUAACCAGAUUUACAUCCGAAGCUGCUUGGAAUCAUUAUGCAGAUAAUGUUCUUGGUCAGAAUAUUCUUUCGGAAAGAAAUUUCAAGCUGUUUGUGACUGAAUACGAUGAAUUUAGAAGAGAAAUUGAGAGCAGAAACUAGCACAUGUAGCUGACUAACUUGACCGAGGGGAGCAUGGAUGUGGCUUUAGUGAAAGAAUUUUAUGCUAAUAUAUAUGACCCGGAGGAUAAAUCUCCAAAACAGGUUAGGGUUAGAGGUCACUUGAUAAAAUUUGAUGUUGAUUCCCUCAAUACCUUCCUGGAGACUCCGGUGGUUCUAGAGCCAGGGGAGAGCCUUCCCACAUAUUACAGGUUCUGCAAACUAUAGCCAGGUCCUCAGGAGUUGGCUGCCCGACUAUGUAUCCCUGACAGGGGAUUUGUUCUGAAUGCAGAGGGCCUGCCAUUGAAGCUUCUGAGGAAGGACCUCUCUACUCUGGUGCAAACCUGGAGUGUCUUGUCCUACUUCAACCUUGCCCCUACAUCACAUACAUAUGAUUUGAAUCUGGAUAGGGCAAGGUUGGUGUAUGGACUUGUCAUGAAAUGGAUAUGGAUGUUGGAGAUCUUAUUUCUAGACAAAUAUCUUUGAUAGCUCAGUCCAACUCCUCUCGGCUAGGAUUUCCAGCUAUUAUCACUGCUCUAUGCAUGGACAGAGGAGUCACCUCAGACUCGUUGACUUUCGAGACUCUCAGCCUAGCCAAUAAUUUGGCGUACAUCAAGAAGAAUUGCUGGAACCUGGAUGAUCCUUCGGUCAGCUUCCCAGGGACCUGCAAGGCCCGGGCCAGAGGAUCUGAGGGUCCAUCUUCAUCUGCUCCCCAGGACUCUACUGAUGCAAUCCUCCCUAGGAAGGGACCAGUCACUAGAGCCAUGAGCAAGAGGCUCCAAGAGGAUUGGGCUAGAGUUGCUAAAGAAGGCCCUAGGGUUCUUAUAAACCUCAGGGUAGAUUUCUGAGCACAUGGGCCAAUGUUGGGUCCAAUUAUCUUUGUACAUAUUAGACUAGGAUGUCAUUAUAUUUGGUCCUUGUAUUUAGGGCUCUAUAAUAUAGGUAGGGUACCCUAGAAAUAUAGGAUUUUUUAGCCCUUGUAUUUUAGGACACCUAGACUAGUUUUUGUAUUAGAGGUAGUUUUGUAAUUUCACAUGCACUAAGUGAAUAUUUGAUGUGUGUAGUUAGAAAUAAAUUUAAUUGAAUUGGUUGAAGCCCAAUCCAAUUAAAUUUUAGAGGGGGAGGUGAGCAUUUGCUUACUACACCCCAUUGCCACAUCAUAUAGUCACACUUUGUGCAUGUCCUUCAUGCUUUACAUGCCUCAUGACUAGGGGUGGGAAUAGGCUAGGCCGGCCUACAGGGGCCUACGACCUGGCCUACAUAAAGUCUGGCUUGGCCUGAGCUAUUUAAUUAAAAGGCUAGGCUCAGGCUUUUUUAAAAGCCUAUUAAAUUAAAUAGGCCAGGCUUAGGCUUAUUAAAAAGCCUUAUAAGCCUGAUAGGCCGGCCUAUAUAUAUAUAUAUAUAUAUAUAUAUAUAUAUAUAUAUUAUUUUUUGGGUACAAUUAAUAUUAUUUUUUAAAAAAACUAGCAGAUUUCAUUCUUAUAAUUAAGUAAAAUUUUAAUUACAAGGUGUGAGUUUCUUUAUAUUUCUCAUUAUUUUUAUUAGUUUUCUUAUUUCUGUUAACAGUUCCUUUUUCUAUUCCUAUUAGGUUUCCUUUAUUCUAGAGCAACUAAAAAUCAUAUCCUACAUUCUUAUACAAAAAUCAUAUCCUAUUAUGUUCCUAUACAAAAAUCAUAUCCUAUCAUAUCCUAUUACGUUUCUAUACAAAAAUCAUAUCUUAUCUUAUAGUGGAUAUGGAGGAGCUAAUGAUGAAAUGACGUUACUAUUAAUUUUAUUGGUAGAUAUUUUAUGCACCGAUUCUGUUCAAAUAGAAUGGAGAUGUAGGCUUUAUUUUUUUAUUGUAAUAAUUAAUAUGUUGGUUUGAUAGACUUGGAUGAUACUACCUCAAGUAUGAGGUUUUCUUUUGUUUUAGAUUAUUUUAUAUCAUUUGGUGAUUUCUGUUUGUAUUAUUAAUAUAUUUUUAGGACCACCAACUAAAUUAACGUUAGAUUAAAAAUUAAGGCAAAUUAUAUAUUAAGGCCUUGUUUAGCCUAUUAUAGAAGGUGAGUUAUUUUAUUUUUUUUUGGUAAAAACAACUAGGAAUAUUAAAGAUUUAAUGUGAAGAAGAUUUUUAAAUAGGCUUUUAAAUAGGCUACCAGGCCAGGCUAGGCUUUUAAAAAGGCCAGACCGAGCCAAAAUAAAAGCCUUUGAUAGGCUAUAGGCCAGGCUCAGGCCUCAAAAAUUAAUCAUAGGCUAGGCUCAGGCCUUUUAAAGCCUGGCCUGGCCUGGCCUAUUCCCACCCCUACUCAUGACACCUAAGCACACUUAGUGGAGAAUCUUGGAAUUGAUCUUGGAUUAGUGGGCUGAACCAUAACUAAAAUUCACUAAUCAUAAUUAGUGAAAUUUUGGCUCCAAAGUUUGGCUCCACAAAUUCAAUUUCAAAUUCAAGUGAAAUUUGAAUUGAAAUUCAAAUUUCCCUCCAAUUUUGUGUGACACUUAGGCUAUAAAUAGAGGUCAUGUGUGUGCAUUUUUUCAACUUUGAUCAUUUAAAUAUUAAACUUCAAAUUUUAAAGCUUUUUUAGAGCACAAAAUUUCGUGCUCUUCUCUCCCUCUCCCUUCAUUCAUCUCCUUCUUCCUCCAAGCUCUUAUCCAUGGCCUCCUAUGGUGGUGAGCUUCUUCUAGACUCAUCUUCUCCUUGAAGUGGCAUCUCCUCUCUCUCUUCCUUCUCCAUUCCGCUGCCAUUCAUCUUCCAAGAAGCAAAGGAAUCCAUUGAUGAAGAAGAUCCUAGGCCUACAAGCUCCAAUGGAGCUUACAUCAUGUCCCCUUCCCCUUGAAGAGGAUUUGACCUCAAAUCUGUUAGUUCAUCCUCCUCAAUAUCAGCUCCACCUGCAAAAGGAAUUAAAUCCGAAAUGUUAAAAGUGGUGCUGACUCCAUACUCUUUUGGGAGGUCCAACCUAUAGGCAUUGUUAUUGAUCCUCUCCAAAACCUGAAAAGGUCCAUCCCCUCUAGGGCUAAGCUUGGAUUUCCUUUUAGUAGGGAAUCUAUCCUUCCUAAGAUGGAGCCAAACCCAAUCACCCUCAUUAAGAACUAGCUCUUUUCUUCCUCUAUUGCCUUUAGUUGAAUACACCUUUGUUUGGUUCUCUAUUUGGUUCUUAACCCUCUCAUGCAACUUCUUUAUAAACUCUGACCUAGAUUCCCCUUCUUUAUGUAUAAAAGAAGUGUCCAGUGGGAGAGGAAUAAGGUCUAACGGUGUUAGGGGAUUGAACCCAUAGACAACCUCAAAAGGGGACUACUUGGUGGUUCUAUGAACCCCCCUGUUGUAGGCAAAUUCUACAUGAGAAAGAUACUCAUCCCAAGACUUAUGGUUGCCUUUCAGAAGAGCCCUUAAAAGGGUGGAUAAAGACCUAUUCACUACCUCUGUUUUCCCAUUAGUUUGUGGAUGACAAGUGGUAGAGAAAAGAAGUUUAGUUCCUAGCUUAGCCCAUAAGGUUUUCCAGAAGUGGCUAAGGAACUUAGCAUCUCUAUCUGACACAAUGGUCCUAGGCAAACCAUGGAGUCUCACAACUUCCCUGAAAAAGAGUUUUGAGAUGUGGGAAGCAUCAUCCACCUUGUGGCAUGUUAUAAAGUGUGCCAUCUUGCUAAAAUUAUCCACCACCACAAAGAUAGAGUCUACACCUCUUUGGGUUCUAGGAAGCCCAAGGACAAAGUCCAUACUAAUGUCUACCCAAGGUGCAGAAGGGAUGGGUAAGGGUGUGUAUAGCCCAUGAGGCAUCACCCUAGACUUGGCUUGUAAACAAGCCACACACCUAGUGCAAUGCUUAUGGACAUCUUUCUUCAUAUGGGGCCAAUAAAACUUUUCUUUGAGUAAGACAAGCGUCUUGUCUAUCCCAAAGUGGCCCAUGAGCCCACCUUCAUGGCUCUCUUUCACAAGUAAUUUCCUAAUGGAUCCUUGGGGUAUGCAAAGCUUUCCCUCUUUGAACAAAUACCCCUCAGCCAAAUAGAAUCCAUCUUGGGCAUUUUUCCCACAACUCUUGUAAAUGGGAGAGAAAUUUUCAUCUAAAGCAUACAAGUCCCUAAUAUUAUGAAAUCCUAAAAUUUGAGCUCCUAGGGAGCAAAACAAUGUGUGUCUCCUAGAGAGGGCAUCAGCUACCACAUUUGUUCUUCCCUUUUUGUAUUUGAUAACAUAUGGAAAUUGCUCUAGGUACUCUACCCAUUUUUCAUGCCUCUUAUUUAACUUGCUUUGUCCUCUAAUGUACUUAAGUGAUUGAUGAUCACUAUGAAUGACAAAUUCCAUGGAAACAAGGUAAUGUUCCCAAGUUUGGAGGGCUCUUAUUAAGGCAUAAAGCUCUUUAUCAUAAGUGGGGUAGUUGAGAGUGGCACUAUGAAGUUUUUCACUAAAAUAAGCAAUAGGGUGCCCACCUUGUAACAAUAUAGCUCCAACUCCCACUCUAGAGGCAUCACAUUCUAGCUCAAAAGUUUUAGAAAAGUCAGGAAGAGCUAGAAUAGGUGCCUUAGUAAGCUUUUCUUUAAGCAAAGCAGGGGCUUGCUCUUGUUUUUCACCCCAGGUAAAUGCCACAUUCUUCUUCACCAACUCAUUGAGAGGUGAUGCAAUUGUAGAGAAAUUAGGAACGAACCUUCUAUAGAAGCUUGCUAACACAUGGAAGCUCCUAAUAUCUCCCACACUUUUUGGGGUGGGCCAUUCUUGGAUGGCCUUGAUUUUCUAAGGGUCCACAUGGACCCCAUUUCUACCAACUACAAAACCUAAGAAAACUAUAUUAUCUACACAAAAGGUACACUUCUCUAUAUUUGCAUAGAUGGUGUUUUUCCUAAGGACUGAAAGAACUUGCCUGAGAUGUCCUAAGUGAUCAUCUAGGCUCCUACUGUACACUAAAAUAUCAUCAAAAUAAACAACUACAAAUCUACCUAUGAAAUCCCUUAAAACAUGAUGCAUAAGCCUCAUAAAGGUGCUUGGUGCAUUAGUGAGCCCAAAAGGCAUCACUAACCAUUCAUACAAACCAAACUUGGUCUUGAAAGCGGUUUUCCACUCAUCACCCUUUUUCAUACUGAUUUGGUGAUAACCACUUUUAAGAUCAAUUUUUGAAAAGAUAUUGGCACCAUGCAACUCAUCAAGCAAAUCAUCAAGUCUAGGAAUGGGGUGCCUAUACUUUACAGUGAUGUUGUUGAUGGCCCUGCAAUCUGUACACAUUCUCCACGUACCAUCCUUUUUGGGCACCAACAACACCGGCACAACACAUGGGCUUAGGUUCUCUUGGACCCAACCCUUCUCCAACAAUUCUUUAACCUGAGACUCUAUCUCCUUAGUCUCCUGAGGGCUAGUCCUAUAGGCUGGCCUAUUAGGAAGGCUUGCUCCUGGGACUAAAUCUAUUUGGUGUUCUAUUCCCCUUAAAGGAGGUAACCCAGGGGGUAUCUCUUUGGGAAAUAUAUCACCAAAUUCAUGUAAGAGUUCUUGGACCUUUGGGGGUAAGGUCUCAAAUGUAGGAAUUGUGGCAAUGCUAAGGGAUGUUUCCCUUGAUAGGAGAAGGUAGAAAGAUUGUUUAAGAAGGAGUGCUCUUUUAAUAUCACUUUUUGUUGCAAAAUGAUUUUCCUUCUCAACAAUCUUUUUGGAGGAAUCCUUUUCCUCUUUUUCCUUCCCCUUGGCCUUUGAAGACAAGGCCUUACUAUCCUUUUUUUUCUUUUGUUUUUCUUCCUCAUCCCUCUUAUCUUUCAUAGUUAGUUGAUCUUAGGCCACCUGUGAAGGUGUUUGAGGAUGCAACACAAAUUUAGUGCUAAGACAGGUGAGGGUAAUCUCAUUAGUUAGGCCAUUGUAAAUGAUCUUCCUAUCAAAUUUCCACGGUCUUCCUAAAAGAAUAUGUCUUGCCUCCAUGGAAACUAUAUCACAAUUAACUUCAUCCUUAUAUGUCCUAAUGGAGAAAGGUACCUUCACUUGUUGGUUAACUAUCAUUUCCCCUUGCUCAUUGAGCCAUUGAAGUUUAUAAGGUUUUGGGUGGCGAAUGAUAGUGAGGUUCAACUUGGAAACUAAUCUUGUGCUACAACAAUUGCAACAAGAUCCACUAUCCCUAAUGAGAAAACAAGUUUUAUCUAAAAUUUUGCAUCUUGUAUGAAAGAUGUUCUCUCUUUGGGAUUGAGAUAGAUCACAAGAUUGACCUCCAAGGAGCCUUCUGACCAUUAAGAGGUCACCUUCUUCAUGGGGGUAGACUUCCUCACUAGACUCUUCACCCCUUACUUCAUCUUCACUUCCACUAAAGGAAGGGCAAGAAGUAGUCUCCUCUUGACUACUAUAAAUGUCUUGACCCCUCAUGAUCAUGGUUUUCUUUGUGGGGCAUUGAGAGGCAAUGUGACCUCUCCCAAGACAUUUGAAGCAUUUAAUGUUGCUAGUCCUUUCUUGGGAACAAGUCUUGGGGGUGUAUUUCUCUAUGGUCUUAUCCUUAUCUUCCUUGGGUUUUGAAGGUGCAGCCCCUAAAAUUCCAUGGGCUUGGUCCUUCCUUGGAUAAGAGUGAGAGCCAUAAGAUUUUGAAGAAGACUUUCUUUUAAGUUGUUGCUCCACUCUUAUACAAAGUUGGACUAGCUCAUCUAGGUCCCUAUAUGGAAGGAGUUCAACCCAUUCCCUCACUUCCAUAUUAAGCUCACUAAGGAACCUAGCUAUGCUUGUUCUUUCCUCCUCCCUAAGUCCAGCUCUUAAAAUGAGUAGUUCCAUUUGUUGUCUAUAUUCUUCAACACUCAUACUCCCUUGUCUAAGCCUUUGGAUUUUGUCCAUAAGCUCCCUUUCAUAGUAGGAGGGAAUGUGCCUCUUCCUAAGGGCACUCUUAAGAUCAUUCCAAUACUCUACUGGAUGAUCCCCAUGAAUCCUUGGUUCCCUAACAAGGGAAGUCCACCAAUAGAGGGCGUACCCUUGAAAGCUAAGGGUAGCCAAUGGAACUUUUCUCUCUUCGCUAAUAUGAUGGCAAGCAAAGAGUUGUUCAACCUUCAUUUCCCAAUCUAGGUAGGCCUCAACAUGAUCUUUUCCAUGGAAAUAUGGGAGGCUAAUGUUAACCUCUUGAGGCCUUCUAUCCUUUUCUCUUUUCAUUUCUUUCAUUAUUUUUCUUCUUUCUUCCUCUCUUAUUUUCUCUCUUUUAUCUUGACUUAUUUCUUCCACUCUUUUUUUUUUCCUUUUUCUUUUCUCUCUUGUUUUUCUUUCCACAACUUAAGGGAUAUCAACUCAUCUAAUAUCUUAUACAAGGGGUCCUUAGGAGCAGAACCCUCACCAUCAACACUAGAUUAAGAAUGAAGACUCAUGUUGGUUCCUAAGUUAUGGUUCUUUCUUAUUGGGGAUUUGAAAACAAAAGGUAAAAGAAACUAUGGUUGAAACUAGCCAAAAUAAACACUAAAAGAGGUGUGAAAGAUAAGGUAAAAACUAAUUGGUAAAAAGCAAGCUAUCUAGGCGGUUUGACAAUGGAAGGUAAAAGAAAUAAGCUAUGAAAGUAAGCAAGAAAUUAAAGUGCAAGAAAGGCAAACUAGGCGGAUCCUAAGAGUGUUAGGAUGACCUCAUUUAAGGUUCCCAACAAAACACUCACUAUCCUAAGGGAAAAUUGCCUAAAAUUAUUACACAUAAAUGGAAGUAGGGUGACCUAUUGAAGGCUCCCAACUUACUUCCAAUGAAAGGCCUUUUUGUUACAAAGUUUGAAAGCAAAGAAAAUUGCUAAUUACAAAAUUACAAAAAAAAGUCCUCAAUUGUGGUGGCUAUUCUAUCUUUGGUGUUUCACUCAAUUUGGAGUGCUUCUUAGUCCAAUAGCUCUUAAGGUGGUUGGCCCCUUGCUUCUUGACUCAAAUUCUUCAAGGUAUGGCACCAAUCCUCCUUUCCAAUUCCCUAUAUGGCAACUCACAAGCAAGGAAACAAAGAGACAAGCAAUAACCAAAGACAAAAAAAAAAUGAAAUGAAAGCUAAACCAAUAGAGUUUUAACAAGACAAAUUUUCAAGGAUUAUUCAACAAUUAAAGAAAUGAAAAGCACACAAAAGCAAGCUAGGACUCAAAGAGAAACCUAGAAUGGAUCUAGAGUAGAGUAGAAAAACAAAAAAAAAGAAGACUCAAGAAACCUCUAGUUUUGGCACUUGUCUUCACAAUAAUUUUCAAUAGAAAUUUCAGAACUAGGAUUGGUAUAAAAUAGUCACCAAUUAUAGAACAAAUUUUUAGCCAAAACAACAAGCACACUUCCCUUUCACUGUUUUUUUUCUUUUCCUGGACACUGAUUUUUCUUCCAACUUGUGUGAUUUUUCUUAUUUUUUCCUUUAAUCCAAAUCGAUUGGUUCUUUUUUCAUAAUUUUUUCCUGAACACCCCGCAGGGAUCACCAGUAGGCACGCUUGUGCUGAAUCUGACUGAUGAGGAGGAUGCCAUGGAUCAGGACCCACCACAGGACCGGUGACAAGAUUUAUACUUUCCUGUCUUUUGAACACUUUUAUUAUCAUUCUAUUUUUAGUACACGUUAUAAUUUGGUUUUAUAAUUAUGUUUCAGUUUUUAAAUUUCAGUUAUAGUUUUAUUUUAGUUUUUAGUUUGCAUGAUAGCUUGUUUUAAGCUUGAUUGAACAUUUACAUUUAUAUUAUUAAGUGGUUGAUGUUUGAUUUUGAAAAAUUUAGUGCUUGAUGGUUUGAAAUGAUCAAUUUCAUGAUUUGAGUGAAGUGUAAUGCGCACAUCAUAUGCUUUGAAUGAGCAUGCAGUGAUUAGAAGAGAAAGAACAUGGAUUAGGACUAUGACUGAAAAUGUUAGUUAGUUGACAGAUUGAUUGUGAAGGUACUCAUUAACCACAACCUGGUGAGUAUGUGAUCUUGAAUUUUGAGAGAACGACUAGCAUUAAGUAAUGAUUUUUGCAUGAAUCUCUGAUUAUGGAAUGAAUGCAUGAAUUCGAAGAUGAUGAAGGCCAUGGUUGUGUGAAUUAUCCACUUAGCCAAAAAGCUUACCUUGCGAAUGAAAUGAUUUAUCCUUUGCACCCAUAUUGAGCUGAAAUUGAUUACUUGAACCUUGAGCUUGUAAAUUAUAUCUCCUUCUACCAUGUCUUAGGUUGUAGGAGAGCAUCAUUCAUAACAAUAUUGUGGUUCAAAGCAAAUUUGUUCCAAAUUUGGGGGAGUUUAUUGGGUGACAACUUCUAAUGGUAAGAAGAUAACAACACAAACAGUAAACCAAUAAGCAGCAAGUAAAGAGCUGCUGUAUAAAAAAAAAAAAAAGCUAAGUGUGGAAAGGCAAGUAAUCGAAGUUGGAAAUUGAUCGAGGCCCUACCCGAAUCAAAUAAACAUGAAAAUGCAGUAACUAGGAAGUGAUCCUAGGUCGUUUCCCAACGAGCAGUGACAAACCAAAUGUUCAUAAUAUACUUGCAGUAACAGUAACGAUUGGGGGGGGGGGGGUUUGGUUGUUUGGUAAUUAAAGAGCAGAACAAGUAAACUGGAAUACGAAACUACUAAUAUUAAAAACGGGUUGUUUCCUUUGAUUCAGAAGCCAUUCUCUUAUCCUGGGUUAUGGAGAAUUCGUCCCUAACAGUCAACCACUUAAUCCAACCCUAUUUCAAUUUACUAAGCGAAAAUCAACUUAGGGUUUUCAAUACGUGAUUAGGCACCACAUACACCAGUUAGCCCUUCGUCCAUUAAGUAUGAACGCAAGUUAGGCUCAGAGGCAAUUAAUCGAACACGAAGCGUGCACUGAUUAAUAUUCACGAAAUUGGGAUAACUGGUGAAGGGAAAACUGCCAGGAAACCACAUUACAAGCGAAAUCUCAAAGAGAGUUGGGCUUCGUCCUCAAAAGGAAACAACACCAGAAAAUCUAGCCUUCCAUGGAUUCAAACAGAAAACGCAAAUGAAACAUGAAACAGAAACAUAAAUGAACAGAAACGUAAAUGAACAGAGACGUAAAUGAGCAGAAACGUAAAUGAACAGAAACGUAAAUGAAAGUAGAAGAAGAAGCACGAAUGAACUCGUAAUUAGAAGCAGAAAACGGAAAUUUGCAUUAAGAACGAAAACUGUAACAAGGGAACAGAAAAACGUGAAAACCUAAAACCAAAGCUCUGAAUAAUGAAAAUAGCAUAACAGAAUGCCUUGCACGAAUCCCAAGGCAGCUAUUUAAAAAGAGUCACUCAAAGUCACUGGGCCCUAUUACAAUACUCUGGCCCAAAACGAAAUAAACACUGAACAACAUAAAAUAAAAUUGCAAAAUUUCCUAAUUAGAAAUUAACUAAGGUAAGCGCUGCUUUAUUUGCCCUCUUCAAGUCCACAACUAAAAUCCGGAUUAAGCCCAAUGUUUCAUUAAUUCCUGAAAUUAGAUUAAAAACAUCAAAUUAGCUAAAUGAGCCCAAAUAAUAAAACUGCCUAAUUAAUUGACAAUUAAGACCAAUCAAUAAUUAAAAUGGUGCAAAAAGGGUUUAGAAAAUAGAAGAAAAUGAUGGCACAUCAGAAAUAAUUAUGGAAAGAGUUGAUCUAUGGAUGAAUGCUCUCUUAGAACAUAAGCUUUUGCAUCCUAGAAAAACCAUGAUUUGUUAGUAGCCUAGCUUCAUUACAAGCCAAGAAAAGUCCUUCGGAUUUAGUUUGUGUGUUUAUGACUGUAUGGCAUGAGAUGAAUUGCAAAGAUUAAGACUUGUGUUGGUUGUUGAUUGAUUAUAAGCCUAAACACUUGUGCUUGAGUGAAACAGUGAUCAUGAGGCUUUGGUUGAUGAUCUUUCCUUGAUAUUUGUCAUAUUCACUAGCUUAUUUCAGUUGUGUUUCUUAAUAAUCAUGUUCAUAGUUUUGAAAAUCUGCAUGCCUUCUGAGAAGCUGUUGAUUAAACAUUGUAUGCAACUUAUGUCAUGUGAUUGAAUCCUUUGGAACAAACACUUUGUGAAGAACCACUAUGUUUUUAUCACUUGAGGACAUGUGAAUUGUUCUUUCUUUGCUUGAGGACAAGCAAAACUGUAAGUUUGGGGGAGUUUGUUAGUCGUCUUUUACGACUAACUUUUGUAUAGAAAUGUUUUCCAAAAUGUAUAUAUUUUCCCCAAUUUAUGGUUCUUUUUGUAGGAUUGUAAAUAAUUCUUGUUUAGUUUUUAUUUUUGCUAAGUAGAGACCUUCCUCAUGGAACUAAUGUAAAUUUCACUUCAAUUUCAGGUAAAAAGGAGAAAUUUUGGAAGGUGCUGAAGUUGCUUUCUCGCUAAGCCUGGUCCAUGCACUUAGCGAGAUUCAUCCGCUAAGCGAGACAACAGCCCGCUUAGCGAGUAAGAGGAAUCUUGGAGAGAAUCUGCCUCGUCAGCACGCGCUCAGUGGGUCACCAGCUCACCCAACGAGAUUUUUGCCUCUUCUUGCGCUAAGCGCACUUGGCUCGCUGAGCCAAAAUUAACUUACUCACGCUUAGCGUGAAAGUGGCGCUAAGUGCACCUUCAAGGACAGAAAGCCCUUUUUAAGCCCGAAGUGAAAAGAAAGAAAGGGGGUCUGAAUAGGCAGAGAGCUUGGCAGAAGAACAAAAGGGAAAAGCAGAGUAAGGAAGCAAAAACCUUAGCUUUUAGGAGAAUUUUAGGUUUAGGAGUAAUUUCUAGGUUCCUAGAGGUAGAGGAGACAUCCCCAUUACUUUGUAUUCUGGUAUUUUCCCUGAAACCCUUCUCCUGCUUGUGAAAGGUGCUCCCUUGUAAUGGAGGGGUAAAAUCCUUUGUUGGGAAAUUCUGCUUAGUACUUGAUGUAAAUACUUAUCAUAUCUAUUUAAAGUUGUUUUUAUGUGUUCGUUGUUUUUAUCCGUGCUUAAUUAUCGCAUGCUUGUGGCUUGAUCACCCAUUUGUAUGUGCUGUUAGGAGCUUUAGCAUUAGAAAAUGUAUUGCAUCCUUAGAAUUGGAUAGAACAGGGCUAGGUUAUCGUAUAAUCUAGACACGGAGUGUGGUAGUUUAGUUUUUAUUAUGUUGUAGACGUAAUGCUGUUCGAUUAGGCUAAGUUCAACAAGAGACAUCUGAGAACGAAGCUUAAUUAGAAUUAGUCCAAACUCACGAGACAUCGGUGUUUGGUAUUUUAGCUCUCAACAUAGAACAUGGAAAAUAACUUUGAAUAGAGAAAUACAUUUAAUUGAGUCAAGUAUCUCAGUAGGAGCACCCAACGCUUUUACAUAUUUGUUUUCGCAUCCACUUGCGCAUAUUUACUGUUUUCAAUUAGAAUAGAAAUCACUUUUGUUUUUAAUUCAUGAUAAUCAAUUCUUUUCACAAAUGUCUGCCUACUGAAUGAUGCUUUGCCAAAUAAAACAGGUUCCCUGAGUUCGAUACUUGGUUCUUACCAUUUUAUUAUUACUUGCACGACUCGGUACACUUGCCAGUUAGAUUUACGCAUCCAUAUUAACAAGUAACACCGGGGCGUAAACAGUUGGCGUUCAUCCAAGCUAAAAAUUUGGAAUCUGAAAUGCUUGGCUUGGAUAGGACAUCAUCAAUAUCAUCAUGGUCCUCAUAAAGAACAUUGUGUUGGACUGGAAGAUGGAAAUAUAAUCUUUCAACGGCAGGCUUCCUAGCAUGUAUUGGAAAACCAAAAAUUCUCCAAGCAGCUUCACAGGGAGAAAUGUAUCUGGCAUAAACAUUUAUUUAUUAAAACAAUAAUGGGCACAUUAAUUACACAUGUUAAAUUAAUGCUACCUGCAAUCUAUAUAUUCUUUAAUCUCAUCUUUUUGGUUGGUAGCAUUCUGGAUUUCAUCAUUGCCAUCAUAAACCAUAACAUCAGUGACUCUGUCAUACCCUUUGUUUAUGUACUUGAAUAAAUGUUUGAUUGAAGUACUUUGAUUACACCAUUCAAUAUUGACAUGCACUUGGUAUUUUUUCAGUAAUUUUGGAUUAUAAGGUACGAUGUGUCUAUUAUCAAUGAUAACACCAUUCUUUGAAAUUGUACGACCAUCAUUUCUCCUAUGAUAUACUGGAUAACCAUUUGCAUCUAAAAGAGUGUAAGGUUGGAACAUUUUAGGAUAAAAUCUGCUACACUUUCCUUCUUUCAUACAUGGAGAUUCAGAGCGUAUAAUUCCACAUGGGCCAUGAACCAUAUGAUUUUGCACCAAUGUAUACAAUUUUGGGUCAUCUACCUUUGAAUGUAUCUCUGCUGAUAUAAUCUGAUCAAUUUCAUCUGAAGUUGGAUAUUUAUUGUCUGGGUGCAAAAACAACAAUAAAUGGACAUGAGGAAGUCCUCGUUUUUGGAAUUCUAUUGUAUGCAUAUAUGUGAUUGUUAAAUUAUAGUAUUAGCAGGAAAACAAUAACAUAUAAAUAUUUAACAAUUAUGUUAUAGGAUGAGCAAAAGUAAAAAAUAAUAAAUUGAAUUCUAUGUUUAAUAGAAAAAGUUGUUGUCAACUUACAUGCCACUGCUUUUCCAAGUAGGUGAUUCUUUGAUAGGUCUGAAAGCAUUUCUUCAUAUUUCAACUUGAAAACUCGUGAGAUAAUGUCUGGUCUAUCUGCUGCUUUCAAAUUCAAUGGUGCAAGUAAUCUAUGGAUUUCAGGCCAAUUUGGAUUACAUGUUAAAGUGAUAAAAAGAUUUGGGAAACCAACGUGGCUGCAUAUCGCCAUACCAUCAAAAUAUAGCUGAUCCAUGUAGUGCGGACUCCCAACAAAGGUAGAAGGAAAAAUUACUCUCUUGCCUUUAUUUAAACCUUGGCUUGUCCCAACAUCCAGUGAAUUUUGUAAGCUACAAUACUUGUUAACUCUGAGUUUCUUUUGGUUGUUCCUGAUGUAGUUAAGUCUUUCCGAUUCAACCAUCGUAUAUGCUUCAGCAAUGAAUUGUUGAAAUAGUCUUCUAGAAUGCAAUAAAGUUUGAGCUUCAUUUGGUCUAGACUGAAGUCUAUAAGCAAACCUCUCUCUCAUAGUGAGACGAUUUCUCUUUCUCUUUUUGCUGUCUGGUGUUGCAUAGUGAAGUAUGUCAGACCUAUAUCCAUCUUCACCAUAAGGGAAAAGCAGAGGGAAUUGUAGGCCUAGAUAGCUAGAGUGCAAUUCAUGUAUUCUCUGUAACUGUCCAUUUUGAGUCUCAACAAUAAUAUCUCUUCUUGAGUUGGGAUUAAAAUCACCUACAAUAAGUGCAGCAACUUCUGAAACAGUUGGAACAUUGUAUGUACGACCAUCCUUUUCACGAGUAGCUAUCAAUCUUAAUCUGACAUUAUCCACAUCACUAUCUGCCAAUCUAUCUCUAGCCAUCCUAAAACUUUUAGCAUGCGCAUUGUGUUCAUCCAACAUUUCACCUAAACUUGAAACAAUUUGCGGUUGAAUUCCAUCAUGCUGGCUAGAAAAAGUAAUAUUAGAACUGAUAUGUAAUUCAAAGAAAAUCUGUGAUGAAUGUAUGAUUUUUAUAAUUAUAGAAAUGAAAGAAUCAGUACCUGAUGGCAUUAAUGCUAUUUUGAACUUCAUUAUCUGUGUCAAAGAUAUAUAAUUGUGCAAAUUUGGGUUCUUUUCCAGACAUUGGUAAUAAACUGCCUAUCCGGUGACAUGGUUGACCCUGAAUUCUAAUUGUAGGAGGUCCUCUCGAAUGAUUAAUUGAUUUGUCUAGCUUAAUACCAGCAAAAGUAAAUGCAAACAUCAUGUUAUAUGUGUGUAUGUUUUGUUGAUAAUUUCUACCAUCAGCUGAAUUAUGAUCAAAGAGAAGUCGGUGGAGAUAUUUGGGUGGAUUUUGUAACAAUGGAAGUUCAACUUUGCCAUCUCCACAACAUAAGUUGAACCUCAGGCUUGUACUAUUUUUAUGUUUUGAUAUUCUUUCAUUAUACCACAUUUUUGCAUUAUAGUGUCUACAUUGCAUCAGCUGGUCACCAAGUUCAUAAUAGCCUGAAAUUGUUUAAUGACAUAGGAAAGAUGAUGGUAACAAUUGAUAACAUGGAUAAAAAAAUAUGUCAACUGAUAUGGUUGUCAAUGACUCAGAAUUAUAAUUCUCAUCUUCAAUGUUAAUUGCACGGUCAUUGGCAGAGGAUUGACAAUCUUCAUUUCCAGGGGAAAAAUUUAAAUCAGAUCUUGCAAGAAUUACAAUUACAUAUGGUUAUUAGAUUUCAGGGAUGAAAAAAUCUUGAAUAAAGGAGUUUCUUUGCAUGGUACCUUGUGUUGAUUCAGAACUUAGAUCCUCUAAUGAAUCAGAUUCAAUUGCUUAUAGAUAGAGACAAAUCAAAGUUAAAUGGAAUCAAUUAAUCGAAAGCAAUAUAUUUUACAUGCAAGAUGGUUCAUAUAGUUUCUUACUAUGAUAAUUCCUACGUUGUGAAGUAGAGUCCAUAAUUGCCUGUGGAGGGGCCUGAGCCUGAGGUUGUCGUUUUUUUUAUCUAUGAUACGUUUUUUGUUCAUUCUGGCUUUUGCUGAAUUAGACUUGUCCGUGAAAUGGUACUUUUCCAUGGUGUUAAUGGCAAUUGUUGACUUGGUUGAGUUAUAAAUUAAUGAGAAAAUGGCAAUUGAGAUCAACUAAGAAAAAGUAAACUAACUCUAGAAUGCAUGCAAGACAUUAUGAAAAUAAGAGAAAUGGACAGUUGAAGGCCUAGAACUAUAGUUCAACAUUAACAGCUGGGAAAAUCUGCAUAUAGGAAUGAUGACACUUGCAUGUAGAAACAUCGGUUGGUGAGACUGAUGGGAAAGCUAAUAUGAAAGAUGUUGUGUAUUUUUUGUAAUCACAUGUAUAGCAUAUAUCAUUCAACUUGAUGUAUGCUUUUUUUUCUUCAGAGGAUGCAGAACAAAAUAGGGGACUGAUCGAGGCCGUACCUGAAUCAAAUAAACAUUAAAAAUGAAGUAUCUAUGAAGUGAUCCUAGGUCGUCUCCCAACGAGCAAUGGUCAACCAACGUUCAUAAUAGAUAGUGAUAAAACAGUAACGAAUUGGGGGGGGGGGUUGUUUGUUUUUGUAAUUUAAACAGCAAGCAAAUUUUUAAUUAGAAAAUAAUAGAAUUAGAACACAUUGUUUCCCCUUGAUUCAAAAGCAAGUCUCUUAUCCUAGGUUAUGAAGAUUUAUCCCUAACCAGUUCAACCACUUAAUCCAACCCUAAAUUAAAUUACUAAGCAAAAAUUAACAUAAGGCUAUCAUUAUGUGAUUAAGCAACACAUACACCAAUUAAUCAUGAACGAAGCUGAUCAUUAAGCAUGAACGUAAAUUAAGCACAGAGACAAUUAAUCAAGCACUAAGCAUGCAUGGAUUAAUAGCAACAAAUACAAAGUAAUUGGUGAAGAGGAAAAACUUAUCAUAAUUCAAUAGUAAUAACAAAAUCUCAAAGAGAGCUGUGCUUGAUCCUCAAGAGAAAACAAUGCUGGAGACUUAGCCUUCCAUUAAUCAGUAGAAAACGAAAUUGUAGAUUGAAGCAGAAACAAAAUUGCAGAAAACGAAUUUUAUUCUACGUGAACAGUGCACAUGAACAGUAAAAAUUGGAAUUCUAAAACCCUAGAAUUAUUCUCCUCUUCAAAAAAACUCCUAAACUAAAAAUCUGGUACUGUUAUAUAAGUCCUCAGCCCCAAAGCUUACAAAUCUGUUUUAAGUCCAAGUCCAUAAAUAAAAUAAAAUCUGGACAAGAUAAGAUAAGAUUAGAUGAAAUAAAAUAUAGAUGAAAUAAAAUCUAGAUAAAAUAAGAUUAGAUUGGAUGAAAUAAAAUCUAGAUGAAAUAAAAUCUGGAUAAGAUAAGAUUUGAUAAAAUAAAAUUGUUUGCUCUCUUCAAGUCCAAGCCCAAUUCCGGAUUCAAUCCCAAUUGCUUAUAAUUCUCCUGAAAUUAAAUUAAAAACACAAAAUUAGUCAAGUAGGCCUAAAUGAUAAAAGUGCAUAAUUAAUUUGAUAAUUAAGGCUAAUCAGUAAUUAAAAUGGUGACAAAAAAGGUUAAGAAAUAGGAGAAAAUAAUGACACAUCAAAUCCCCCCACACUUAGCCUUUUGCACUCCUGGGCAAAAUCAAAAAGCAAAGCAAGGAACAAAUCCAGAGACAUUAAAGAGAAACAAACAAACACAAAAACAAUUACACAUUUCUCAAUGAAUAUCAAGGAAUGAAAGGAAUGGGCAACAUCCAACACGUAGAGAGUUAAAGAAUCAAGACAGUCAUGAAAAUCAUCCAAGCAUCUCAAACAUGGCAAGAUAGUCAAUCAGCUCAAGAAUGAAAAGUGAUAAAGCCUCAUCAUAAGAUAUGCACUCUAUCUCUCAAGUGUGUAGGCUACUGUUUACACUCAAAGCACCCAUGAAAACAAACACCACAUAGACUUGGCAAGACUCUAAAAUUGACAACCACAUCACAAACACAUGCAUAUGAGGAUCAAAAGGUCUUUUAAGGUUGUAAUGGGGCCAAGGACAAGGUAGAGGAAAGUAUGGGAUAAGUAGCUAAAACCCAAAGGAAUAGAGGAGCAAUGGGGAAUAAGUGAGAACAAAGAAAAAGUAGUAAACCCCAAAACCAAAAUUAAAAAUUAAGCAUAAAAAGUAAACCCAAAACAAAGUCAACCAAGUCCUCAAACCAAUCCGAGUCUUCAAAUCAAGACCUCAUGUAUUCAACUUCAUUCUUUUUCUGUUUUUUUUUUCAUUUUUUUUUUCAUUUUUUUUGAACGUGAACAGUAGCAAUUGAAAGCAAUUAAAAAAUAAAGCAACAAUUAGGCAAUAUAUGUAUAUACAUCAAGCAUGGCCAAAAUACAUCAUCAAGCAUGGCCAACAAAAACAUAUCAUCCAAUGAAACAUACCCCCCACACUUAUUCCCAAAACAUUUCCAAAGCUCUAAAAUUCCUUAAGGGUAGGGUGAGAUCAUGGUUUUUCACUUAAGGCUUGUAAUGAGCUUCAAAACAAAGAAAGGGGAACAUAGGCUCAAAGGGGCUAUCAAAGGAAUUAAUUCAAGGUAGGCUCAUUUGGCUAAAGGCUUAUAAGAACAAAAUGCCUAAAUCAUCUCCCAACAUGCGUGUGAAGCAAGAAGUAUCAACAAGAGUCAAGCCAAGGCUACUGUGCAAGCAAUCAAUGGGGAAAAACACACCGAAUAAAAUAGAUGAUGAUGGCUCAAAUUCUCACCAAGGGUAAAUCUAUCACUUCUAAUUCGAACUUUCAAAACUAACUUGACAUGCAGAGAAAAACAAGGAUUUCAAUUCACAAAAUGCCAAGAAACUCCUAUUUCAAAAAUAAUUACCCAUUACCUGUACAUAACCUAUAAUUCAAAGAGAAACAUGCAAUGUUGUACAUAAAACAUAAAACCAAAAUAAAAAAAUAAACCUAGAAAACCUAAAAAAAAAUUAAACUAGAAAACCCAAAAAAUUUAAUCUAGAAUACCCAACAAAAUCAACAAAAUUAAAGAACAAUCUCCCCCCCCCCACACUUAAACAACACAUUGUCCUUAAUGUAGCACAAUCACAAGAUCAAGAUCAAUCAAAACAAUCAAUAAAAUUGGACAAGUGCAAUAAAAGUAAAGAAGGAGACAGAAAAAAAAGAAAACUCCCUAAGUCAUGGCAGAAGAGAAGUAGGGUGAAGUAAGUUGGUCUCCUCCACCACUACAUCCACUAAGGAGGGAUUUGUGAGGAAUGGUUUCAGCCGGUCUCCAUUGACCUUGAAGCUCUUAUUUGUGGAUUCACUUUUGAUCUUAACUAUACCAUAAGGAAAAACAUUAGUCACCACAAAAGGACCAAUCCACUUUUACCUCAACUUACCACUCAUGAGUCCGAGCCUAGAGUUAUACAAUAAAACUUUCUGUCCAACCACGAAGUCCUUAUUAGCUAUCAAGAUGUCAUGGAACUUCUUGGUCUUCUCCUUGUAGAAUUUGGAAUUCUCAUAGGCUUCUAAAUGGAUCUCAUCUAGCUCACUUAGUUGCAACUUCCUUUCCUCUCCAGCCUGAUCAAUAGAGAAGUUGCAGGUCUUUACAACCCAGUAGGAUUUGUGCUCUAUCUCUACAGGAGGAUGACAUGCCUUGCCAAAGACAACCCGAUAAGGAGAUAUUCCUAUGGGUGCUUUGUAGGUAGUCCUAUGCGCCCAAAGAGCAUCAUCCAACUUGAUGCUCCAAUCUUUUCUGUUCGGCUACACAAUCUUCUCCAUGAUCCUUUUUAUCUCCCUGUUUGAAAUCUUAGCCUGCCCAUUAGUUUGGGGGUGGUAAGGUGUGGAAAUUCUGUGCAUGACCCCAUACUUUUUGAGCAAGGCAUACAUGGAUCUGUUACAAAAAAUGGGUGCCUUGACCACUAACGAUGGCUCUAGGGACUCCAAACCUACAAAACAUAUUAGAUCUAACAAAAUCCACAAAAACCUUAGCAUCGUUAGUUCUGGUGGGUUUGGCUUCCACCCAUUUUGAAACAUAAUCAACAGCAAGGAGAAUAUAAACAAAACCAAAAGAGACAGGGAAAGGCCCCAUAAAAUCUAUACCCCAGACAUUAAACACCUCACAGAAUAACAUGGGUUGUUGAGGCAUUUGCUGUCUCCAUGAAAGUGAGCUGCCUGCUUUCUAACAAGGCUCACAAGUGCUACAGAUUCUCCACGCAUCCUUGAAGAUGGUGGGCCAAUAGAAACCGCAGUCAAGCACCUUGCGAGUUGUCCUUUGUAUGCCAAGAUGGCCACCUGAUGCGGAAGAAUGACAAAAUUGCAGGAUUGAGUCAAUCUCAUGGUCUGAAAUGCAUCUCCUAAUAACCUGGUCACUGCACAACUUCCACAAAUAGGAGUCAUCCCAAAUAUAAUGCUUAGCAUCUCUCUUAAUUUUAUCAUUUUGAGCUUUAGAUGCUAAGGGAGGAAAAACAGAAGCAACCAAAUAAUUCACAACAUUAGCAAACCAAGGAGUGGGGAAGGAAUCAGAAAUACUAUACAGAAUGUACAAAUGGUCAUCCAGAAAAUCAUCCCGAAUGGGUGAGUCCUCAGAUGCACGCUCAAUCCUUCUCAGGUGGUCAGCCAUGAGGUUCUGUGCACCACUCCGAUCACGGAUCUCCAAAUCAAACUCUUGGAGCCAAAGCAUCCAUCUGAUCAAUCUAGGCUUUGAUUCAACCUUCUUCAACAGGUACUUCAGAGCUGCAUGGUCAGUAUAAACAAUAACAUGAGUACCAAGCAAAUAUGAACCAAAUUUUUCAAAAGCAAAAACUAUCGCUAAUAGCUCUUUCUCUGUGGUAGUGUAAUUUGCUUGAGCAGCAUCCAAAGUUCUAGAAGCGUAGUAGAUCACCCGAGGUAGCUUAUCAAUCUUUUGAUCAAGGACAACCCCCAAUGCAUAAUUGGAUGCAUCACACAUUAACUCAAAUAGGGCUGUCCAAUUAGGUGCCUGAAUGAUAGGGGUGGUAGUCACCGCACGCUUGAGGCAAUCAAAAGCCUCUUUGCACCGGUCAUCAAAAUCAAACUCCACCUCCUUUUGCAGCAGAUUGGAUAGUGGAAGGGCCACUUUGCUAAAAUCCUUGAUAAAGCGCCUAUAAACCCUGCAUGACCAAGAAAAGAACGAACCUCUCGCACGCAAGAGGGGUAAGGAAAUUGUGAAAUAACAUCUGUUUUUGCAGGGUCUACCUCUAUGCCCCUACUGGAAAUGAUAUGCCCUAAAACUAUACCUUGUUCUACCAUGAAGUGACAUUUUUCAAAAUUCAGCACAAGGUUAGUUUCUAUGCAUCUACUAAGAACUCUAUCCAGACUAUCCAAACAUGUAUCAAAAGAGGAUCCAUAAACAGUAAAAUCAUCCAUAAACACCUUUAUACAAGUCUCUAAAAAAUCAUUGAAAAUGCUAGGCAUACACCACUGGAAGGUACCAGGGGCGUUGCAUAGGCCAAAGGGCAUCCUCCUAUAGGCAAAAGUGCCAAAGGGACAGGUGAAUAUGAUCUUUUCUUGACCCUUAGGAGCAAUAUGAAUUUGUAAAUAACCAGAAAAACCAUCAAGAAAACAGUAAUGAGACUUACCUGUCAAGCGCUCAAGCAUUUGAUCAAUGAAUAGCAAGGGAAAAUGAUCUUUUCUGGUUACCUGGUUCAGCCUCCUAUAAUCAAUGCAGACUCGCCAGCUGUUCUGCACUCUUAUGGGGAUAAGCUCAUCCCUCUCAUUCUUGAUCACUGUGAGGCUUGUCUUCUUAGGAACCACUUGGACUGGACUCAUCCACUGGCUGUCAGAAAUGGGGUAGAUGAUUCCAGCUUGUAAGAGCUUGGUCACUUCCUUUUUCACCAUAUCUAGAAUGACGGGGUUGAGUCACCACUGUGGCUGCCUCACUGGCUUAGCUCCAUCCUCAAAAAGUAUCCUAUGCAUGCAGGUAGAUGGGCUAAUACCAGGAAUGUCUGCUAAAGUCCAUCCAAUGGUCUUCUUGUGCUUCUUGAGCACUAGCAACAACUUCUCCUUUUGCUCAACAUCAAGGCAGGCGGAGAUGAUCACUGGAAAUUUUUUCUUGUCCUCCAAGUAAGCGUACUUGAGGGUUGCUGGUAAGGGCUUCAACUCUGGUGUGGGUGGUGGCUAAAUAGUGGGAGGAACCAGCGUAGGAGAAGAAGGAGGUUCCUCAACCUGUACCUCAUAAAGCAAGUCAGAAGUGUAUGUACUUCCUGCAACAUGGUUAGUGCUUUUUGACUCCAAAAAAUCAACAUCAAGAGGUACAACACCCAGAAAAUCAGAACCAGACUCAAAUUCAAAUUCACUCUCAGCGUAAAAGUCAGAUACAGGAUCAAAUUCAAACUUAGAUUCAGAUUCAAUGCAUAAGGAAUGACAAGUACGCAGACCAGAUAAAAAUGGAUGCUUCCUACCAUGAAGAAUAGAAUCAAAAUUCAAACAUAUAAUCAUCAACAAUAUGAUCAAUUAUCUCAGCAUGGAAAACAGAAUGAUCCUCAGAUGGAUGUUUCAUGGCAUCAAGAAUGUUAAAAUGAACAACAAUAUCACCAAAUUCCAUAGCCAAUUUGCCAGCAUAAACAUCUAUCUUGGUUCGGGCUGUUUUCAUAAAUGGCCUGCCUAAAAUAAUUGGAACUGAACGAUGGGAAAAUCCCUCUUCCAUAUUAAGAACAUAAAAAUCAACAGGAAAAAUAAGUUCACCAACCAGAACCAGCACAUCCUCUAUGAAACCUGUGGGGUAAGCAACACUUCUAUUUGCCAAAUGAAUCACCACAUCUGUAGAUUGCAAAGGUCCAAGAGAUAAAGAAUUGAAAAUGGACAGAGACAUGACACUAACUGAUGCUCCUAGAUCUAGCAUGGCAUUCUCAAAUUUAUUGUUCCCAAUAAUGCAAGGUAUACAGAAAGUACCUGGGUCCUUACAUUUCUCAGGAAUGUGAGGAACAGAUUUACCUAUCAAUGCUGACACAUUUCUGCCCAUGUAAUCCUUUCAUUGCCUUUGAGCUUCCUUUUGUGGGUGCACAGCUCCUUUAGAAACUUGGCAUAUCUUGGAAUCUGCUUGAUGGCAUCUAGCAGAGGUAUGUUCACCUCUACUUUCCUGAAGGUCUCCAAGAUCUCCUUUUCCGCUUCUUCCAUUUUUUGUUUGGAAUUGCUCUAGGUGGGAAUGG
rnacentral:lncRNA from 1 species